GGGAGAAGCGGAAAACUUCUUCUGUAAGGCUUUCCCAGGACCUUCUCUGCAGAGCCUCUUCUUAAGCCCCAGCCUCUUAUCCUGUUUGUCAGGAUGGCUGAAAGAGUCCCUGCUCAGGGCAGAUAUCCUGACUCCAGCACUGAGUCCCUUUACUAAAACAGUGGUUUUCUCCUCUGAGCUAACCUAGGGAUUUCUUGGAAGUGCCUUAGGAAGCUGCUGCAGGGAAUAAGGGGGCUAGUGAGUAGGCAGGUUGUGAAUCCCUAUCUCCAUCAAGCAGAGCGGCUCCAUCUCCAUCCCUUUUAUCUACUUGGCUUCUGUGUUAGGCUGUGCUAAAAAUGUAUUUUAGUUAAAAAAAAAAAAAGUUUAAUCCUAGCUCUGCUCCAAGUGGGUUGUAUCACUUUAAAUAACCCCAGAAUGGUUUUAAAAGAUGCCAUUAUUACAAGGCUCCUAAAGCCAAAUGAGUUUUUUUGUAGUGCCACAGAAGUUUUAAUUCCAAAGGAGCACCAAUAUCUUAUUGUGUUGACGUUACCAUACAGUCUUUAAACUAUCAAAGAUCCUUUCUAGUACAAGGUCAUUUUCUUCCUCUGAGAUACCCGCAAAGUACAAGAGCAGAUAUUUCAUGAGUAUUCAUACGUGGAUU
rnacentral:lncRNA from 1 species